UCUGGCACUCCCUAGUGAGAUGAACCCGGUACCUCAGAUGGAAAUGCAGAAAUCACCCGUCUUCUGCGUCGCUCACGCUGGGAGCUGUAGAGCGGAGCUGUUCCUAUUCGGCCAUCUUGGCUCCUCCGGCUUACAUUCUUGUAUAGGGAUUACUUUCCUCACUUUGUUAUAUAUCCUGGAAGCUAUGAACAAUGAUGCUUCUUCAUACUCUUCAACCUCAUCAUGAUACCUUGCACGAAGCAGGAGCUCAACUAAUUUGGGUUGAGGCCAGAAUGCCAAUAGUGAGCAAAAAAGGAUGAUAUUUGACACUUGGCAUUGAAUAUCUGAAUCAUGAUGUCCACAUAACUACAGCUAUGCACCACAUAAUGAUGUUUUACUCAACAACAGACCACAUAUACAAUGGUGGUUUCAUAAGGCUAUAAAGGAGCUGAAAAUUUCUUACCACCUCAUGUCCUCAUGUCAUAGUGCAACAUAUUGCUCUUGUGUUUGCAGUGAUGCUGGCAUAAACAAACCCACU
rnacentral:lncRNA from 10 species